GCAACAUGGAGGAUAGAUUGCAAGUGGAGCCAAGAACAAAAUACAGCUGACUCUGAACAAAUCCUUUUCGUGACUUCUGGAUAAAGGACAACUCAAGCCCCUCGUUCCAGUGGCAGUGGAUUGAUGUGCAGCUUCCUAUGUGAAGGCAGAGCACACGUCUGUCUCUGGAGCUUCCUAGAACACAUGGAGAAGACAGAUACAGAGAAGGCAAUGUGAACACAGAACAGAAAGAGAUGUGGUUACGAGCCAAGGAAUGCUGACAGCCACACACAUUGGAAGAGAUUUCUAACUUGGAAUCACUAAGGACAAAAACUCCUAUAUUCCUGAAGCCCUACAAGCUGGAACUGGACAACUCGAUGUAAAUUUCAGGAGACAACCCCCAUGCCUGAUGUGUGGGCCACUAAGGGAGUUUACCAAAACAUCCAAUGCCAUAACCAGAGACAUUCAAACUAAACCAAGAAAAUGUUUCAAGCUCAAAUCCAGAAAUCUUGUCAACUAACUGCCCUCUGAACUCAGAGACUGAGUUUAUAAUUUGUCCUAAGCCAUUAACCUUUGUUAAUAGCUUUUUUUUGUUUUGUUUAUUUUUUCUGGUUUGGUUCAUGAGGGCAUUUGUUAAGAAGCAUACUCUAAUCCCUUGGUAUAUCCUCCUGAUAGUUCCCAUUGUAAUCUCCCAGCUGCAUUCUCUCAAGGGUUUUGAAGGUGUAUUUGCAGCGAUUAGUGGUAUACUAGGUGGCCUCACUGUGAUUACUGCAACAACUGCAAGAUGACCAAAGGAAUGUGUCUUCCACAAGGCUGACAUUGUGACUUAUGAGUUUCAUGCUAAGACAAAGACAACCCUGCCAUGAUGAUGACUGACAGUAGUGCUGAUGCCAUAAAUUUUUAUCAAAUCCCUCAGUACAGGUUGAGUCUGAUCAAAAGGGGAAAGCUGUUCAGUAAAAUAUGUGGGAGGUCAUUGUUUUGGAUUAAGCUCCUGCACUAGGCCCCAACAGACCAGAUCAAACCAGAAUGGAGUCACUCAUGCCAGAUGCCACAUUGUCAAACUGAAUGUAAAAAUAGGUCACUUGUUCAAAAAAAAAAGGAGAUUCACAGUAACCAAUUGAAAGGGGCCCAGUCAACCUAAGCUCACAUGAUAAGGAAGUCUCCUCUAGUUUAACGUAUGCAAGGAAAGUAGCUUUGAAAUCACCAGUCCACUUUUUGUUUCUUCUUUCUGCUUUCUUCAGUCUUUUCCAUUAUAAAGCCCACACAUCUGCUCAGCUCAGUAGGGCACCUUUCUAUUUCAUAGAUGGAAUGUCACUUGAUUCAUGAAUCAUUAAUAAAAGCCAAUUUGAUGUUUAAAA
rnacentral:lncRNA from 1 species